rnacentral:snRNA from 1 species
GGAUGUGAGGGUGAUCUGGCUGCAACAUCUGUCACUCCAUUGAUUGCCAGGGUUGAUUCAGCUGAUCUGGCUGGCUAGGCAUGUGUCCUCUUCCUCCCUCACAGCUCCACGUGCAUCCCUCCCUAAGCUGCAUGCUCGGUUGAAGAGGAUGACUUUCCCUGAUGCAGGCAGUACUGUUCAUUGGCCAUGGGUAUAUGGUUGCUGCNCUCCCCUGCUAAAACCUCCAAGCAAGCUCAGGGUCCAAUUUUAGGAGAAUGUAGGGUAGGCCNGCUUCCAAGACUGCAGACACAUCCAAGUGAGGCGUUGCNCAUGGCAGUUUGCCAUUCUUU